GUGCUCACUUUGGCAGUACGUGUACUAAAGUUGGGCUGAUACAGAGAAGGUUAGCAUGUCCCCUGCACAAGGAUGACACGCCAAUUCAUGAAGCAUUCUAUAUUUUA